AUUGAACGCUGGCGGCAGGCCUAACACAUGCAAGUCGAGCGGGGACUUCGGUCCUAGCGGCGAACGGGUGAGGAAUGAUUGGGAAUCUGCCUGGUAGCGGGGGGUAAAGUUCCGCAAGGAACGCUAAUACCGCAUACGUACUACGGGAGAUAGGGGGGGAUCUUCGUCACCCCCGCUAUCAGAUGAGCCCAAGCCGGAUUAGCUAGUUGGUGGGGUAAUGGCCCACCAAGGCGACGAUCCGUAGCUGGUCUGAGAGGAUGAUCAGCCACACUGGAACUGAGACACGGUCCAGACUCCUACGGGAGGCAGCAGUGGGGAAUUUUGGACAAUGGGGGCAACCCUGAUCCAGCCAUGCCGCGUGAGUGAAGAAGGCCUUCGGGUUGUAAAGCUCUUUCGGCCGAGAAGAAAUCGCACGGGCUAAUACCCUGUGUGGAUGACGGUACCGGAAUAAGAAGCACCGGCUAACUACGUGCCAGCCGCCGCGGUAAGAC
rnacentral:rRNA from 1 species